rfam:Ahrensia sp. R2A130 contig00003, whole genome shotgun sequence.
UUGACCGGUUCCAAACUGCCUGACGCACAGGCCGCAUAUGAAAGCGCCAACACAUUGCAGCCGACAGUUUUGGGUGGGGUGAAUUUCUCGCUCCACGCAG